rnacentral:rRNA from 1 species
AACGAACGCUGGCGGCGUGCUUAACACAUGCAAGUCGAACGCGAAAGUUUUCUUCGGGAAGCGAGUAGAGUGGCGCACGGGUGAGUAACGCGUAAGUUAUCUACCCUGGCAUCUGGAAUAACUCACCGAAAGGUGUGCUAAUACCGGAUACGUUGGAGCAAUCCAAGAAAGGUGGCCUCUUCACGAAAGCUACUGUGCUGGGAGGAGCUUGCGUACCAUUAGCUAGUUGGCAGGGUAAAGGCCUACCAAGGCGACGAUGGUUAGCGGGUCUGAGAGGAUGAUCCGCCACACUGGAACUGGAACACGGACCAGACUCCUACGGGAGGCAGCAGUGAGGAAUAUUGCGCAAUGGGGGAAACCCUGACGCAGCGACGCCGCGUGGAUGAUGAAGGCCUUCGGGUCGUAAAAUCCUGUCAGAUGGAAAGAAG